UACGUAGGGUCCGAGCGUUGUCCGGAAUUACUGGGCGUAAAGAGCUCGUAGGUGGUUUGUCGCGUUGUUCGUGAAAACUCACAGCUCAACUGUGGGCGUGCGGGCGAUACGGGCAGACUAGAGUACUGCAGGGGAGACUGGAAUUCCUGGUGUAGCGGUGGAAUGCGCAGAUAUCAGGAGGAACACCGGUGGCGAAGGCGGCUUCCUGGACACCAACUGACGCUGAGACGCGAAAGCGUGGGGAGCAAACAGG
rnacentral:rRNA from 1 species